GGGCCUGUGGUGAAGUGGCUAACACGCUCCCCUCCGGAGGGAGAGAUCAUCGGUUCAAACCCGAUCUGGCUCG
rfam:Rhizoclosmatium globosum strain JEL800 BCR33scaffold_19, whole genome shotgun sequence.